UGGCGGACGGGUGAGUAACGCGUAAAGAACUUGCCCUUUAGACUGGGAUAACAGCGGGAAACUUCUGAUAAUACUGGAUAAGUUAGUAUAUCGCAUGAUAUGCAAAUGAAAGCUACGGCACUAAAGGAGAGCUUUGCGUCCUAUUAGCUAGUUGGUAAGGUAAGAGCUUACCAAGGCGAUGAUAGGUAGCCGGCCUGAGAGGGUGGACGGCCACAAGGGGACUGAGAUACGGCCCUUACUCCUACGGGAGGCAGCAGCC
rnacentral:rRNA from 1 species